AGACCCGAAACCCGGUGAUCUAGCCAUGGGCAGGUUGAAGGUUGGGUAACACUAACUGGAGGACCGAACCGACUAAUGUUGAAAAAUUAGCGGAUGACUUGUGGCUGGGGGUGAAAGGCCAAUCAAACCGGGAGAUAGCUGGUUCUCCCCGAAAGCUAUUUAGGUAGCGCCUCGUGAAUUCAUCUCCGGGGGUAGAGCACUGUUUCGGCAAGGGGGUCAUCCCGACUUACCAACCCGAUGCAAACUGCGAAUACCGGAGAAUGUUAUCACGGGAGACACA
rnacentral:rRNA from 1 species